rnacentral:rRNA from 1 species
GACAGAGGAUGCAAGCGUUAUCCGGAAUGAUUGGGCGUAAAGCGUCUGUAGGUGGCUUUUUAAGUCCGCCGUCAAAUCCCAGGGCUCAACCCUGGACAGGCGGUGGAAACUACCAAGCUGGAGUACGGUAGGGGCAGAGGGAAUUUCCGGUGGAGCGGUGAAAUGCGUAGAGACCGGAAAGAACACCAACGGAGACGAAGACACUCGUGCUGGGCCGACACUGACACUAGAGAGGAC